GACGAACGCUGGCGGCGUGCUUAACACAUGCAAGUCGAACGGAAAGGCCCUGCUUUUGUGGGGUGCUCGAGUGGCGAACGGGUGAGUAACACGUGAGUAACCUGCCCUUGACUUUGGGAUAACUUCAGGAAACUGGGGCUAAUACCGGAUAGGAGCUCCUGCUGCAUGGUGGGGGUUGGAAAGUUUCGGCGGCUGGGGAUGGACUCGCGGCGUAUCAGCUUGUUGGUGGGGUAGUGGCUUACCAAGGCUUUGACGGGUAGCCGGCCUGAGAGGGUGACCGGCCACAUUGGGACUGAGAUACGGCCCAGACUCCUACGGGAGGCAGCAGUGGGGAAUAUUGCACAAUGGGCGGAAGCCUGAUGCAGCAACGCCGCGUGCGGGAUGACGGCCUUCGGGUUGUAAACCGCUUUCGCCUGUGACGAAGCGUGAGUGACGGUAAUGGGUAAAGAAGCACCGGCUAACUACGUG
rnacentral:rRNA from 1 species